ensembl:lncRNA
CCAUCCUUCAUCACCCUACCAUAGAAACAUUUGAUGUCUUCAUUUCUUUAUAAAACUACCAUGUCAUAUGAAACUUACACUAAAUAGAUUUGUAUACUUUUCCCUUAAUAACCUGACUUUUGCUUAAAGGGGCUUCAGUGGCCAUGGAUUUAGAGCAGUAGAAAGAACAGAUAUUCUCCUUCUGUAUAUGUGCAAUUGAUCAAUGACAUAAAUCUAGGCUCUUGAGAUAUCAAUUAUGAAUUAUAAAACACAAGUCACAAAAGAGGACAAAUGGAAGUAUCUAGUGAGACUCUUUAGGGAACCUAACAUCUGAUUCACCCUGCAGUGAGCAUCACAUGCAAUAUCCUCAAGAUUUCUCUAGCCUGUGUCCUGACUUUCUGUACUCAUUGUGACCUGGCCUUUGAGGUAGCGUUUACUCAACAAAGUGAAGUAGCCACUCAGGAAACAAGCUGAGGCAGAACUCCCCUUAUGCUCCCCAGGAAGUUCCCACUGGCCCUCAGAGAAGAUGAUGAUGGCUCCCUACUGCCAGUGACCACCAAUGCACAUUUCCUGAAAUGGUGCUGCAGUUUCUCAGCUAAAUGAAUAACCAGCCAGACAGGAGCCCUGAAGUUUAAAAAUACCAUCAGCUAUGGGUGUUAAUAGAAGCUGGGUAAGGAGGGGCUGAAGGCUAAGAGGAGAACCAGGAGAGCUG